CAACAGGAAACCUGUGAUCUAUGCUCACUUUCACUUAAAGCAGGUGAAUUGGUUUCAGCAACUACUGAGGCAGAAAGGAGUAACAGUGUCAGGGUUGCUGGGGACACAAUGGUAAACGGUCAGGCCUAUCGGCUGACCGGCGCUCAGUGUAAAUCAACACCACAGAGGAAAAGAUGUGGUAAUGAGGGCCAUUUCUCUUUCCAAACAGGAGCAAAGGACUUAUUAGGCCUAAUUUUCAAGGAUGUACAGAAAACACGGCAGGGUGUCACUCCACUGAGGUGAGAUCUCAGGUUCAAUGGGAAACUGUCUGUUUUUUGGGGGGUGGAGGGGCUCA